rnacentral:piRNA from 1 species
UGGUACGUCGUCGUUGUGUUU